CUGGCCAAUUUUGACCAACUGUGUCGACUUCCGCAGAUGGCUGUCAGAAUUUUUUGGAACUGAAAUUCAACACCUUUUGGAUGUGCGCCAGUUCAUAAGUCCAAUGCCACUCUGCAUCAUUCCGGCUAUGUGUGACGGGGGCAUAACAUACAAA